AUCCAUUCAGGGAAACAACAUAUCAAAAAAUGGCAUGAAUCAGACCAGGGGUUCAGAAGUUAGCAAAGUAUCUUUUGGGGCCUGGCUGGCAGCAUGGCUAUCUGGCCCAAACUGGUUUUACAGAGCCCUCUAGCCUGGAGACAAUGGGGAAAGUAAUCCAAUUAUCCAGGGAUAGAAGCAGACUCCAUUGAGCACAUGUUCCCAGUAAAACACAAAAGGAUACAAAAAUACAUAACUCCUAACAUACUGAAUUGAACGGGCCAAAUCUCCCAGGGUCCAUAGUCACAGGGCAAGAGGCGGGCAAGCAGUCCUCUCCAGGCACAAGUGGCGAAGGGCACUUCAUCACAGGCACAACAUUCGCUAACUUCCAAUCUUCUGGUACUACUC